rnacentral:rRNA from 1 species
AACGAACGCUGGCGGCGUGCCUAACACAUGCAAGUCGAACGAGAAAGGGGCUUCGGCUCCGAGUAAAGUGGCGCACGGGUGAGUAACACGUGGGUAACCUGCCUCUAAGAUUGGGAUAACUCGUCGAAAGAUGAGCUAAUACCGGAUAAGACCACAGUUCCCGCGGGAACAGGGGUCAAAGGUAGCCUCUGCUUGCAAGCUAUCACUUAGAGAUGGGCCUGCGCACCAUUAGCUAGUUGGUAGGGUAACGGCCUACCAAGGCAAAGAUGGUUAGCUGGUCUGAGAGGAUGAUCAGGCACACUGGAACGGAGACACGGUCCAGACUCCUACGGUAGGCAGCAGUGGGGAAUAUUGCGCAAUGGGCGAAAGCUUGACGCAGCAACGCCGCGUGAGUGAUGAAGGCCUUCGGGUCGUAAAGCUCUGUCGGGAGGAACGAAUGCUCCCGAGGUUAACAGCCUCGGGAGGUGACGGUACCUUCAAAGGAAGCACCGGCUAACUCUGUGCCAGCCGCCGCAGUAAAAC